rnacentral:rRNA from 1 species
UACGUAGGGUGCGAGCGUUAAUCGGAAUUACUGGGCGUAAAGCGUGCGCAGGCGGUUUUGCAAGACAGAUGUGAAAUCCCCGGGCCUAACCUGGGAACUGCAUUUGUGACUGCAAGGCUAGAGUGUGUCAGAGGGAGGUGGAAUUCCACGUGUAGCGGUGAAAUGCGUAGAGAUGUGGAGGAACACCUGUGGCGAAGGCGCCUUGCUGGCCGAUUUCUGACGCUGAGGCGCGAAAGCGUGGGGAGCAAACAGG